CGUGGUCAUGGAGCAACUAUCAGACAGAGCGCUGAAGAAGAGGGUUGUGUGCUGGAAAAACGACACCGCUGGAAGAGAUGGCCGUGCGGCAGGGCAGAGAGGGUCAGGAGGUCGAGAUCAGUGAUGCGUCUGGACAGGAAGUGAUCUUUCAGGUGUCGUCUGGUUAAGGAUGGCAGAGACACAAUGCUCUACUUGGAUGUGUAGGAAGUUAUUCCAGGAG